GCCAAUUAAUGCCUCAUCUUCUCUCUCUUCCCGCACUCUAUUUCUUUCUCCCUCAAAACUCUUCUUUUUGUUAUAUUUUCAAGCAAGUUUGGCUCUGCUCUCAUCUGCCCUAGCUUUGCGCUAUCUCCUCGUUUUCUCUUUCUCUCAAGCAAACAAUACCAUUGUGGUUAUAAGAGUUACCGGAAAUGACGAUGAACCAGAUGAAGACUAUUGAGUUGGAGGAAGGAUGGGAGUUCAUGCAGAAGGGAAUCACAAAAUUAAAGAAAAUCUUGGAAGGGUCUCCAGAUUCAUUCAGCUCUGAAGAGUACAUGAUGCUUUACACCACCAUCUAUAACAUGUGUACACAGAAGCCCCCUCAUGAUUACUCUCAGCAGCUGUAUGAGAAAUACAAGGAAGCUUUUGAAGAAUACAUCAAUUCUACCGUUCUCUCUUCUUUGAGAGAGAAGCACGAUGAGUUUAUGCUGAGGGAGCUUGUGAAAAGAUGGGCAAAUCACAAACUUAUGGUUAGGUGGCUUUCACGGUUCUUCCAUUAUCUUGACCGGUAUUUUAUUGCUCGAAGGUCACUCCCAGCACUUAAUGAAGUUGGCCUCACGUGCUUCCGUGAUUUGGUUUAUCAAGAGUUGAAAAGUAAAGCUAGAGAUGCAGUUAUAGCACUGAUUGAUCAAGAACGUGAGGGUGAGCAGAUUGAUAGAGCUUUAUUGAAGAAUGUGCUAGGUAUAUUUGUCGAAAUUGGAAUGGGGGAGAUGGAGUACUACGAAAGUGACUUUGAAGAUGCCAUGCUUAAAGAUACUGCAGCUUAUUAUUCUCGAAAAGCAUCAAACUGGAUUGUGGAAGAUUCUUGUCCAGAUUAUAUGUUGAAGGCAGAGGAGUGCUUGAAAAAGGAGAAGGAUAGAGUUUCUCAUUAUUUACACUCUAGCAGCGAGACAAAACUUCUGGAGAAAGUGCAAAAUGAGUUAUUGGUUGUGUAUACCAAUCAAUUGCUUGAGAAGGAGCAUUCUGGAUGCCGAGCUUUGCUUAGAGAUGAUAAGGUAGAGGAUUUAUCUCGAAUGUAUAGAUUAUUCCAUAGAAUACCUAAAGGGUUGGAACCAGUGGCAAAUAUGUUUAAGCAGCACGUCACUGCUGAAGGCAUGAUCUUGGUUCAACAGGCCGAAGACUCAGCAAGUAACAAGGCUGAAAGUUCCAGUGGCUCACAGGAGCAGGUCUUUGUUAGGAAGGUUAUUGAGCUGCAUGACAAGUAUAUGGCAUAUGUGACCGACAGUUUUGCAAACAACUCUCUCUUUCACAAGGCUUUGAAAGAGGCAUUUGAGGUCUUCUGUAACAAGGUUGUUGCUGGCUGUUCUAGUGCAGAGCUUCUUGCUUCUUAUUGUGAUAAUAUCCUUAAGAAGGGUGGGAGUGAAAAACUCAGUGAUGAUGCUAUUGAGGAGACACUGGAUAAGGUGGUCAAGCUUCUUGCGUAUAUUAGUGACAAGGACCUUUUUGCUGAGUUCUACAGGAAGAAGCUUUCUCGUCGACUGCUUUUUGAUAAAAGUGCCAAUGACGACCACGAAAGACUUAUCUUAACAAAGUUAAAGCAGCAGUGUGGUGGACAGUUUACCUCAAAGAUGGAGGGAAUGGUGACGGACUUGACGUUGGCGAAGGAAAAUCAGAACCACUUUCAAGAAUAUCUCAGCAACAACUCGGCAGCUAGUCCCGGAAUUGAUUUGACUGUCACAGUUCUUACAACUGGCUUUUGGCCCAGUUAUAAAUCUUCUGAUCUGAGUCUCCCUAUGGAAAUGGUGAAGUGUGUAGAAGUCUUCAAGGAAUUUUAUCAGACGAAAACGAAGCACAGGAAAUUGACGUGGAUUUAUUCACUGGGUACAUGUAAUAUCAAUGGCAAGUUUGACGCAAAAACUAUUGAACUGAUUGUGGGAACUUACCAGGCUGCUGCUCUAUUACUGUUUAAUGCUUCAGAUAGAUUGAGUUACUCAGAUAUCAAAAGUCAGUUAAAUUUGGCAGACGAUGACUUGGUUAGAUUGCUUCAAUCCCUAUCAUGUGCCAAGUAUAAAAUUCUGACUAAAGAGCCUAGCAAUAGAACUGUUUCGUCAACGGAUCAUUUUGCAUUCAACUCCAAGUUCACUGACAGAAUGAGGAGGAUUAGGAUCCCUUUGCCUCCGGUGGAUGAGAGGAAAAAAGUGGUUGAGGAUGUUGACAAGGAUAGGCGUUAUGCAAUUGAUGCUUGUAUUGUGCGCAUAAUGAAGAGCCGGAAGGUGCUUCCUCAUCAGCAGCUCGUGUUGGAGUGUGUUGAGCAAUUGAGCCGCAUGUUUAAGCCUGAUUUCAAAGCAAUCAAGAAGAGGAUUGAAGAUCUGAUCACUCGUGACUACUUGGAAAGAGACAAAGAGAACCCAAACUUGUUUAAGUACUUGGCCUGAGGCAACAAGCGGAUACCUGGGUGAUAUUGACUGCUCUUGGCACUACAUUGAAGUUCACUCUUCAAGUUGGAUCAGCUUGCUCAUGGUCAAGUCUGGGCUCUUUAAUCUAUCCGAUUGUGCUUGCUACAUCCAUUUUAAUUUGUACGGUACAAAAUUUAAGUAGACCCUUUUGGUAAGGGUUUAUUUGUGGGGUCCUAGAUAUGUUUUAUAGAUAUAGAUAGAAUUCCCAAAUAGAGAAAGAAGUUAAAUUUUUGGAGUAGACUAAAUGUAAAUCCGGGCAACAUAUAAUGCAGCAAAACGAUUUCUUUUUUUCUUCUCCCCUCUCCCUUAAUGGUGUCGGCUAUUUGCUUUGCAAAUUUUUGGCAUACGUAUGAAGCUGAUAUUCGACCGUACCAUUUGAGAAAUCUAUAUCAAGUUUUAUACA